CAGCAGCCGCGGUAAUACAGAGGGUGCAAGCGUUAAUCGGAAUUACUGGGCGUAAAGCGCGCGUAGGUGGUUUGUUAAGUUGGAUGUGAAAUCCCCGGGCUCAACCUGGGAACUGCAUCCAAAACUGGCAGGCUAGAGUAGGGCAGAGGGUGGUGGAAUUUCCUGUGUAGCGGUGAAAUGCGUAGAUAUAGGAAGGAACACCAGUGGCGAAGGCGACCACCUGGGCUCAUACUGACACUGAGGUGCGAAAGCGUGGGGAGCAAACAGGAUUAGAUACCCGGGUAGUCCCUGUCUCUUAUAC
rnacentral:rRNA from 1 species